rnacentral:tRNA from 1 species
UUUGAGGUGGCAGAAUUUUAAAUGCACAGGUUUUAAGCAUCUGUUAUGGUGUUUCAUCCCUCAAUA